rnacentral:rRNA from 1 species
UACGUAGGGGGCUAGCGUUGUCCGGAAUCAUUGGGCGUAAAGGGCGCGUAGGCUGUGCUGUAAGUCAGGCGUGAAAGCCCCGGGCUCAACCUGGGAAUUGCGCUUGAUACUGCGGCGCUGGAAGGUGGGAGAGGAUGGCGGAAUUCCCAGUGUAGAGGUGAAAUUCGUAGAUAUUGGGAAGAACACCGGUGGCGAAGGCGGCCCCCUGGACCGGUACUGACGCUGAGGCGCGAAAGCGUGGGUAGCAAACGGG